rnacentral:rRNA from 1 species
UACGGAGGAUGCAAGCGUUAUCCGGAAUGAUUGGGCGUAAAGGGUCCGCAGGUGGCAGUGUAAGUCUGCUGUCAAAGAAUAAGGCUUAACCUUAUCAAGGCAGUGGAAACUACACAGCUAGAGUACGGUCGGGGUAGAAGGAAUUCCUGGUGUAGCGGUGAAAUGCGCAGAUAUCAGGAAGAACACCAAUGGCGAAAGCAGCUCUCUGGGACGGUACUGACGCUGAGACGCGAAAGCGUGGGGAGCGAACAGG